rnacentral:tRNA from 1 species
GGCCCUGUAGCUCAAUGGCAGAGCAGCGCCCUUUUAAGGCGAGUGUUGAGGGUUCGAGUCCCCCCAGGGUCA